CAAGUCGAGGGGAAACGAUAGAGAAAGCUUGCUUUUCUAGGCGUCGACCGGCGCACGGGUGAGUAACGCGUAUCCAACCUGCCCAUCACUUGGGGAUAACCGUUGCGAAAGUAAGACUAAUACCCAAUGACGUCUCUAGAAGACAUCUGGAAAGAGAUUAAAGAUUUAUCGGUGAUGGAUGGGGAUGCGUCUGAUUAGCUUGUUGGCGGGGUAACGGCCCACCAAGGCGACGAUCAGUAGGGGUUCUGAGAGGAAGGUCCCCCACAUUGGAACUGAGACACGGUCCAAACUCCUACGGGAGGCAGCAGUGAGGAAUAUUGGUCAAUGGACGAGAGUCGUGAACCAGCCAAGCAGCGUGCAGGAUGACGGCCCUAUGGGUUGUAAACUGCUUUUAUAAGGGAAUAAAGUGAGUCUCGUGAGACUUUUUGCAUGUACCUUAUGAAUAAGGACCGGCUAAUUCCGUG
rnacentral:rRNA from 1 species